CACAAACAACCUCUGCAACCCGAUAUUCUACCCAGCGGCCACGCCAUUGACGAGAACACAGGCGUUCUGAUUUGCAUCUACUCGAUGGGGAGGAUGGAGGAGAUAUGGGGAGAGGAUUGCUUGGAGUUCAAACCUGAGAGGUGGGUAUUACAGAGAGAUGAUGGUGGUAAGAAGAAGAGGAGCAUUGUGCAGUAUGUUCCGUCUUACAAGCUGUCAGCUUUUCUAGCUGGGCCGAGAGUUUGCCCUGGGAGGCAGAUCGCAUUCGCAGAGAUGAAGACGGUAGCGUAUGCUGUUUUGAGUAGGUUUAAGAUUGAGGUGGUGGAUGAUUGUGGUGGUAACAAGGAUGUGGUUCCACUUGCUUCUAUUGUAUUGUUCAUGAAAUCUGGGUUGAAAGUUAAGGUUUCCAGGAGGAGGACGACAUUUCCCUGCGAGUGAUCAAGGGACAGAAUAUGUUCUAGUCUCUGGGUUCUUACAGGCUUCCCAGUACUCUGCUCAUGUUUUUCAUCUUAAUUAUAAUAAUUGGGUAUUGAAUUUUGGGAAUUUGGAUGCUCAAACGGUUUGUUAUAAACAAUUUAUUUAGCUACUAAAGAUGUACCCGGUGAAACAUGAAAAUAGGGUUUGGAGUAAGAUCAACGGUUUCGGUUAAUGACACACUAAUCAAGUCAUAUUGAGAACAAUUGCACAUAGGAAGUAAGAAAAUGAGUCAAAUUGGCCAAGUAAUCAAGAACUGAGGAAAGAUCUUGGAAUCCACUACCAUACUAGCAUGAUCAUCGCUGCUCUUGUAUCCGAUUAUAUUUUGAUUCUCCAAAUACCCAUCGUCCAAGUCAACUACUUUCCCACUGUGUUGCGCCCCUUUGUGCUCUGAAUCGAUUUUGCUACUGCAUUGCACGCAGAAUUGGCAGCAGCUGAUGAGUUGUAGAUGCAUAUGUAGGAAGGAAAGGUACGACUUUUGGUACCAUGAACGUUCGAGGAAACCCCAAUCUCUUCUUCUUCAUCUUCUUCUCCGUCCUCAUCGGAGUAUAGGUAAUCUCCCUCGACGGAAUGUAAAGAGUUCUCUUUCACGUCAGGAGAAGAGUAGUUAUGAAUCUGCUUCGUACUUACAGGUACAACUUCUGCUGCUCUAAUAGUGUAGAGUUCUGGUCUAUAACCAACAUGUGGGAAGAUGGGUUGUUAAUGGUUGAUUCUAUUGUGUUUUUAUCAUAAAUAAACAAUGAAACAUUCUCAUCUAAUGUAGGUUUUACGUAUGUUGCAGUUGGUUUUCAUGGCUACAUCCUCAAAACAAUUUCACUGGCAGUAUCGUGGCAGGCGUGGUUUAACAAUACAUAUGAAACAAUCUGAUGUUUUAGAGGUUAGGAAGUGAAAGAAUUUGAUCAUGGCUACAUAGAUUUUGUUAGACUGAUUAUAACAUUCUUAUUUUAUUUUCAGGUGAAGCUAUAACCCAGGGCAAUUUAUGUCUAUGCGAGGUCAGACUGAAAGGUUGGGGAUGCCAGCAAAACGUAUGAUAGCUACAGGUUGGAGUAUCAACUAACCAAAGUCUCUUGCAGACAAUAUCAUCAGUAUUCGUAGUGAGAAUCUACACCAUCGAAAGACAAUGUAUGCAACUAUCUAAACAUUGAACUUUGUCUUGAAGGAAAAGACAACCAGCUUUCAGUUUAUAAUCUUGAAAGGGUUGAUGCAAUUUGGAUUUUCAUGGUAUUAAUAUGUAUUAUGUUCUUCGGCAAAGCUCGGGCUAUUUCUAGUGUAUUAUAAUAAUUCAUGACAUUGAGUUUAAUUUGCCACAUAAACUUCACCUCAUUUUUCAAAUUACCACAUCACCGUUUAUUUUUUUAAAUGGGUUAAUACACUUACGUACCCCUAUAUUAUGUAAAAUUUACAUCGACAACCUUCUAUAAAUUUUUAAACGACCUAACCUUCUUUGACAAAGUUUACAAACAAACUUUUCUGCUUGAUCUCCGUUCGAAUGUCCGUUAAAUCGGCUAACCUUUCACGCACCAGUGGACAGUGUUUUCCACUAAAUUAUUUUGAAUUAGACAAGACCUAAAACUAAAGGGAAAAUUUAAGCAAGAAACUAGUUUUUGCAUGUUAAAGAAAUUUAUAUUAUAGUUACAGAUGUUUUGGUUCAAAUCGGUCUCGAUUUCGUAGCAUUGCACGAGAUAGUUUCUAGUUCGAAUUAGUAAAGAAUCUAUUCCAAUCACGUCAAAAGGAAGAAUGUGUCAAUUUGGAGUAGCAUAUGAGUUGGGUUAGAAGACAUGACACUUUUAGUCACUUGGGGACUUUGUAAUAAGUUUGGAAGAGUUCAUCUGGUAGGGGAAACAGACUACUCUUUGCAUACAAGAUUCCAGCUAGCUAUGCUAAUUUGUAUAUAUGUAAACCAUCCUUUGUCAAACAUCUGUUGUAAUGAAGUUUCAGACUUCACACAGAAAGAAAUAUAUACAUGGCAGUCCUACUCUGGCUAAUUCUGUUCUCACUACUACUACUCUUGAUCAUCUGCUGGCUCUGCAUCCCCUACAAGAAAUCGGCAGCUGUUCGAAACCGGCAUCUGAUCUUGGGAAUACUUCCAUCCCUGCUGUGGAGCCUUUCCCACAACCAAGUCCAUGAAUUUAUCACUCGAAUCCUCAAACUAAAUGGAGGCACAUUCAUUGUCAGAGGUCUGUUUCUCGACUAUCUCUUAACCUGCCAUCCGAUGAACGUCCAUCACAUUCUCAGCAGAAACUUCUCCAAUUACCCCAAAGUAAGUAACACCUGAUCACUCUUUGUUUUCACCUAGCAUCAUAAUUAGCUAGCUUAAUUCCCUCCAUUUUACAGUCUUUCUUUGUUUGUAUGCAUUCUAAUUAAUCUCGGAGCAUCCAACGCACACCGGUUCGGAGCAAUUACAACAGUAUGUAUUAUAGGGCUUGAGUAACCCUAGAGGGAAGGGAUUAACCGAUUAAACAAUUUGUACUUUUAACGAUCUCCCGCAGAUUGAUGAUGAUCUCUUAAUAUUAAUUCUGUUCAUAAGAACCAUUGAUGUGGAUCGGUAGUAACCAUUUUGAUAAGUAAAUCUAGACUCUUAGAUCAUACGGGGGCAAUAAAAAAUCCAGAUCUUUCUUGGAACUGUCAAUGAAAAAUGCGUAUUGGCACCCGAAUUGGCCUCGACGAUUUCAUCAAGUUUCAAGUCUGCUACGGAUCACCUCGCCCAUCCUCUCCGACAAGGAAGGCAAUUCCAAACUAGGAGAAGUCAGACAACAAUAGAAAAUAUCAUUUUACGUGAUUCGACUACAUCCACGCAUGAACAUGAGUAAAUUAUUCCACUAUCAUUACAAAACUAGCCCAAACAAAGUCUGGAAUCGGGAGUAAGAGAAAUGGUUUCUAGAUUUGAUCUAGAAAGCCCUCUGAAAUCUCAUUUUUCAAAAAUUACAAGAAUAAGAUUGACAUUUUACGGUCAUAUAAAUGUAUAUAAUUUUAGAGCGAGAAAUCGGGAUGGGUUUGGAUACCUAUACCCGUUUUGAGCGGGUACCCAUACCCGAAGACGCGAUGAAAUUCAAACUAAACCCCCGAAUCCGUUCGGGGUUCGGGUACCCACACACCCGUAAGGGUAUUGCGGGUUCGGGUUCGAGUACCCGUCGAUACCCGAACAAACAAAUCAACAACAAGAAAAAAAUACGACCUACAAAUUUCACUAAUAUAUCGAAAUACUAACUUACAAAAUUGAGUCACAUUCUAAUUCUCAAUCAACCAAACUAAUGAAACUAAUAGAUUACUAACUUACUCUCCAGGUUUAGCCCACUAGGGUAUUUUGGGUACUCAUCGGGUAUACCCAAACGGGUAUUGGACAUUCAUUGAUAAAAUAAUAUGAUAAUUCUCAACCCAAACUCUUAACACGUGCAAGUAUCGGGUACCCAAACCCCGUUUUGAUUCGGGACGGGAUCGGGAUUACCCGAUACCCGUUACCCAAACUUCCAGCUUUAAAUAUAUUACAUAGUAUUUUACUGUAUACAAUAAUCAUAAAAAUGUGUAUACACUUUUGUACGAGUUUGUACAAACCUAUAUAGUACAACUCUUUACAAAACUGUACAAUCUAUCGUCAAAGAAUAUUCCCCAAAAAUUAAAUUUUUAUAGAAAACCAUGAAACCGACAACGACGAUCACAUAGGUGCAAAAUAUUUUCAUGAAUAAAGAUUGGAAUCGCUAAUAAGUUGAUCAGAAUACUUUCUGACGACGAACCGUCACAGGAGAUGGGUGGCGUGCCCAUGAUUUAUUUAUUAGUUUAUUAAUAAGAAUGCAUGGCUGAAUUAAUUGGAUGAACGGCAGACACGUCUGUUGGUCCUUUGUAGAUAAUGAUGUUUAGCUGUCUUUGAUGGCUAAGGGAUCACACUGAAUUCAAUUCUCAAAAUCAACACACCAACCUGUACUUUGAUCAGCAAGGUUCAGUCAUGUAUGCAUCAGCUAGUACAUAUAUAAAUAACCCAUUUCUCAACACCCUUUUCCCAAUAUCAGUAACUAGUUACAAUGUCACUCCUAGUAAUACUACUACUACUACUACUACUACUGUCGUUAAGCUUGCUCUCACUGCUAUUCUACAUCUGUGGUUGCCUCUGCAUCUCCAAAUCAACAGAUCCAAACUGGCCUCUCUUGGGAAUACUUCCAUCCCUACUCUGGAACCUUUCCCAAAACCAUGUCCAUGAAUUUAUCACUCGAAUCCUCAAACUAAACGGAGCCACCUUCAUUAUCAGAGAUCCCUUUCUCAAGUAUGUUGUAACUUGCGAUCCCAUGAACGUCCACCACAUCCUCAGCAGAAACUUCUCCAAUUACCCCAAAGUAAGUAGGACUCACUCUUUGUUUCUGCUAAACAUCCUACUUAUUCGGACUCCCGUUCCCACCCCAUUUACUUCCACCCCUAGCUAGGAUCAUAUGUAAUCAGCUAGCUUCCCCAUUUACUAUCUUUUUUUAGCUCGUAUGCAUUCGGUUGAAAUUGGUUAGAUCAAAAUCUUCCUGUGGCGAAUGAGGUGUACUCUAGGUGAUAGUCCUUUAAACGUAGUUCUACAAAUCUUCAACUUAGAGAUCACAUGUUCAAAUCUCGGCGAGUGCACUCUCCAGUACUUUCUUUUAGGCUUUAGUGCCUUUAAUAUGCUUAAAUAAGUACACAGAGUAAAGGUCGAUAGUCCUCGAAUUUACAUGUGACGCAUGUAAAAAGGAUUUUUCAUCAUGAAAAAAUUAAUGGUAAAUUCCUUUCGAAUUUGUUCACUCUGAUUACAGUAGAGCUUCCAUCGCGGUCAUGCGUCAAAAGUUUUCUUCGUAAAAUUGAUUGUAUCAUCUCUCUUUCUAUCCAUGUUUAUUUUCGUUUAUUGUCUGUCGAUUAGUUUAUUUUCGUUUAUUGUCUGUCGAUUUCUAAUCCGUCCUUUUCAUCAAGGGAGUGGAGUUAAGGACAAUACUGGAUGCUCUGGGAGAAGUACUAAUCAACAGCGAUGGCGAUUCCUGGAAGAUGAGAAGGGAAAUCGUCGAUUCCAUUACGAAAUCGGCCAAAUUCCACAAUCUCCUAAUCAGAACCCUCAAUCAGAAACUGGGCAACAACUUGAUCCCAAUUCUAGACAGAGCAGCAGCAGCAGCAGCCUCAGAGUCGGAAGAAGUUGGGAUUGACUUGCAAGAUCUGAUGAAGAGAUUGACAUUCGACGCCAUGUGUUUAGUGACAUUGGGAUUCGACCCAGAAUCCCUUUCCUUGUUGGAAUUCUCUCAUCAUCGUCAUCUAGCCUUUGAAGAGUCGUUUGAUUUGAUAAUGGAAGUAAUCCUGUACAGGCAUUGCGUGCCACGGUAUGUCUGGAAGCUCCAGGGGUGGAUUGGGAUUGGGAAAGCUGGCAAGUUCGAUGCCGCUGUGGAAUGUGUUCACCGAUUUCUGGACGAAAAGAUCAGACUGAAGAUGGAGGAGAGAUGUACUAGGGGUGUUGUUGAUGGUGCUGCUGAUGAUGAUGAUUUCUUCAGAGAGAUUGUAUUUGAAACAGAGCGAGUUUUCGGGAGAUCACUGAAGAAAGAUUACAAGUUUGUGAGAGAAAUUGUGUUUACUUUGAUGUUGGCUGGGAGAGACACCGUUGCUGCUGGUUUGACGUGGUUCUUUUGGCUUCUCGCCACUCAUCCUGAUGCCGAAGCCAAAAUAUUGGAAGAAAUUGAUGGAGUAAUUACCCAAUCAGGUGGAAAACAGAAGAGGUUUCCAAGCAUGGAGGAGAUGAACAAAAUGGUUUAUCUCCAGGGAGCGAUAAGCGAGACAAUGAGGCUCUACCCACCGGGGCCUUUCAACCAAAAACAAUCACUGGAACCCGACGUGCUCCCAAGCGGCCACGCCAUUGACAAGAACACAAGGAUUCUGAUCUCCAUCUACUCGAUGGGGAGGAUGGAGGAGAUUUGGGGAGAGGAUUGCUUGGAGUUCAAAC
rnacentral:lncRNA from 1 species